CUUACUGCCUUCUUAUAAAGUCUCUACACAUAGAUAUUGGCUGCAAAUGGAUUUUGACAAAUACUUCAUAUAAAGUCAAGUUUGCGUUAUCGGGAAACAAACGACGUUCGCACUUGGUUCUAAAUUCAAAUCGUUUUCAAAAUGGCCGUAGGAAGGAUAUUAUUGCUGUUGGCAGUUUUGGUGGUUUUGGAAGUAUCACAUAGCCAAAUAAUUGGCGGCUUCGGCGGCUACGGCGGCGGCAUCGGCGUCAUCGGCUUCGGUCGGCGUUACGGCUAUGGCGGCUACGGCUACCCCGGCUACUACGGAGGCUACAGGCCUUUCUACCCCCCUCCACCUCCACCGCCACCACCCUUCUUUGGAUGAGAUAACUGGCACGAUUUAUUUCGCUACGAUAAAAAUUGGAUAGUGGAGAUUUUAUGAACUAAAAAUAGCGUUUAAGGAUGAAUAGCCUACAAAAUUAGCCUACAUAAUUGUGUUGACGUUUGCAGCGUCGAGCGUCAAGCGUUGGACUAAAAACAUGUAUUAAUAUGGACGCUACAAGCGUAACUGUCGGCCAAAAACGCUAGGAGCGUUUUUCGUGGUGCGUUAGCGAUAAAUGUAUAAAAAUAUGUUCUCUUUUUAAGUUACAAUUAUUUGGUCUCGAGACCAUGGAAUUAUUUGACCCUAAUCUACUAUAUCCUAAUUGAAGUUUACUGUUCAUCAUAAUCAAAGGCAGAAAUGUAUAAUAUUAGGUCCUUACCUAUGAAAUUGGCGUUUUUGUUCAUAGAUAUAAGUCUGAUCCUAGUUUUUUUUUUUACAAAAGUACAUACACAAUUACAAUAAAACUACAGUGCACUCAAUAAACAACGAUUUUACAUACAAUUAAUUGUUAUUUUUUAUUGUUAAGUGUUCAGAAUUAAGCCUUGAAAAUAGGUCUUUUCAUGUGCUGUCGGUUCGAGUAUUAAAAUUACUUAUAUUUUUCUAAUGGUACCAAUUUUCAAGAAAUGGAGAUAUUGAAAACAUACCUUAAAGGUGUCAAAAAUUACUGGAAAAAUUUUGUUUGGUUUGAAUUAGCCAUCAAAAAAAUAUCCGCAAAAUUAAUUGUAUGGAAAUUCGUGUUUCGUUGAAAUUCUCCGAACAAAACGCCAAUUUCAUAGGUAAUGACCUAAUAUAAUAUAUGAUAGUCAAAUGUUAAUACCAGUCGAAAAGUAAAUGAUUGAAAUUAACUCGUUACUUUCCGUUUGCAUUUAUUAUUCAGAUUUUUUUUUUUACUUUUCCGAUUGGAGUUAAUGAUUAACGUUAAUCAUCUUGGCUACGCCAGGAGAGCAGAAUGAAACUACGUAUUAAAAUUAAAUUAUUUUUUUUAUGUGUAGUAUUUCCAGUGAAGUAGGUACAUAUUUUAAGAUAAAUAUUUAUUUUUAUUUUUAAUGUACCUAAUUGUACCAUCCUGAGAUUCAAUUAUAAUGUACUGUUAAGAGAGAAAACACCAUACAUCAUUAAAUAAAGGAUUUAAUACAUAAAACUCGGAAAACAGGCGUAGCUUCAAGUAAAUCACACUCCGACGCAGUAAUGGCGGGCGAUGCUCUUCUGACAGUCCGGGUCGCGCCAGUCCUAGUGUCACCACUGACACCUACCGUAGGGCUGCGUUCGAGCAAACCACAUAAUCGGUUAUCAGUUCGGCCUCCUGAUGAAAAAACCUUCGCCCACGAAGGUCAGCAAGCGGCGCCACAGCACUUCCGUCUUCGCGCACCUCCCAAGUCGGUUAAAGGGAAUCGUGACGUAACCUACUGGUACUCAGCGACUACGUUGACCGCGAUGACUGUGCUACACAUAUCAAAACACAAGCCAAUUUGCAUCUGUUACAGUGCCAAGUCAUAUUCUGACGUUGAGACCCCUUUAGGCCACAUCAGAGGUUUCUAUUUCUUAAAGUAAAUAAAUUCGAUCAUCAACUCUCAAACAAUGAGCAGUCGUCGGCUCAUAUUAUAUCUAACCGUGUACUACCUCUUAUUAUUUUAAUUUAGGAGGAUUAAAGAAUUAUCAUGUAGUCAAGAGUGACCCUUUAAAGCAAAUGUCAUAUAGACACAUAUCAGUUCUUAAAUGAAACAUGAUGUAGACAAUACUCAGCCUCUCUAAGCAAGUAUCAACUCCUGAAGGAAAGCAUCAGGUAGACAAAUAUAAAUUCUUAAGGCAAACAUCUUGUAGACAUCUGUCAGCUCAUAAAGCAAACAUCUUGUAGGCAACUGUCAGCUCUUGAAUCAAAUAUAGACUUUUAAAGAAAAACAUCAUGUAGACA